rnacentral:rRNA from 1 species
UACGAAGGGUGCAAGCGUUACUCGGAAUUACUGGGCGUAAAGGGUGCGUAGGUGGUUCUUUAAGUCUGCUGUGAAAUCCCCGGGCUCAACCUGGGAAUGGCAGUGGAUACUGGAGAGCUAGAGUGCGGUAGAGGGUAGUGGAAUUCCCGGUGUAGCAGUGAAAUGCGUAGAUAUCAGAAGGAACACCAGUGGCGAAGGCGACUUUCUGGACAGAUACUGACACUGAGGCACGAAAGCGUGGGGAGCAAACAGG